rnacentral:rRNA from 1 species
UGUGAGGUUAAGCGACUAAGCGUACACGGUGGAUGCCCUGGCAGUCAGAGGCGAUGAAGGACGUGCUAAUCUGCGAUAAGCGUCGGUGAGGUGAUAUGAACCGUUAUAACCGGCGAUUUCCGAAUGGGGAAACCCAGUGUGUUUCGACACACUAUCAUUAACUGAAUCCAUAGGUUAAUGAGGCGAACCGGGGGAACUGAAACAUCUAAGUACCCCGAGGAAAAGAAAUCAACCGAGAUUCCCCCAGUAGCGGCGAGCGAACGGGGAGGAGCCCAGAGCCUGAAUCAGUGUGUGUGUUAGUGGAAGCGUCUGGAAAGGCGCGCGAUACAGGGUGACAGCCCCGUACACAAAAAUGCACAUAUUGUGAGCUCGAUGAGUAGGGCGGGACACGUGGUAUCCUGUCUGAAUAUGGGGGGACCAUCCUCCAAGGCUAAAUACUCCUGACUGACCGAUAGUGAACCAGUACCGUGAGGGAAAGGCGAAAAGAACCCCGGCGAGGGGAGUGAAAAAGAACCUGAAACCGUGUACGUACAAGCAGUGGGAGCCUCUUAAUGGGGUGACUGCGUACCUUUUGUAUAAUGGGUCAGCGACUUAUAUUCUGUAGCAAGGUUAACCGAAUAGGGGAGCCGAAGGGAAACCGAGUCUUAACUGGGCGUUAAGUUGCAGGGUAUAGACCCGAAACCCGGUGAUCUAGCCAUGGGCAGGUUGAAGGUUGGGUAACACUAACUGGAGGACCGAACCGACUAAUGUUGAAAAAUUAGCGGAUGACUUGUGGCUGGGGGUGAAAGGCCAAUCAAACCGGGAGAUAGCUGGUUCUCCCCGAAAGCUAUUUAGGUAGCGCCUCGUGAAUUCAUCUCCGGGGGUAGAGCACUGUUUCGGCAAGGGGGUCAUCCCGACUUACCAACCCGAUGCAAACUGCGAAUACCGGAGAAUGUUAUCACGGGAGACACACGGCGGGUGCUAACGUCCGUCGUGAAGAGGGAAACAACCCAGACCGCCAGCUAAGGUCCCAAAGUCAUGGUUAAGUGGGAAACGAUGUGGGAAGGCCCAGACAGCCAGGAUGUUGGCUUAGAAGCAGCCAUCAUUUAAAGAAAGCGUAAUAGCUCACUGGUCGAGUCGGCCUGCGCGGAAGAUGUAACGGGGCUAAACCAUGCACCGAAGCUGCGGCAGCGACACUAUGUGUUGUUGGGUAGGGGAGCGUUCUGUAAGCCUGUGAAGGUGUACUGUGAGGUAUGCUGGAGGUAUCAGAAGUGCGAAUGCUGACAUAAGUAACGAUAAAGCGGGUGAAAAGCCCGCUCGCCGGAAGACCAAGGGUUCCUGUCCAACGUUAAUCGGGGCAGGGUGAGUCGACCCCUAAGGCGAGGCCGAAAGGCGUAGUCGAUGGGAAACAGGUUAAUAUUCCUGUACUUGGUGUUACUGCGAAGGGGGGACGGAGAAGGCUAUGUUGGCCGGGCGACGGUUGUCCCGGUUUAAGCGUGUAGGCUGGUUUUCCAGGCAAAUCCGGAAAAUCAAGGCUGAGGCGUGAUGACGAGGCACUACGGUGCUGAAGCGACAAAUGCCCUGCUUCCAGGAAAAGCCUCUAAGCAUCAGGUAACAUCAAAUCGUACCCCAAACCGACACAGGUGGUCAGGUAGAGAAUACCAAGGCGCUUGAGAGAACUCGGGUGAAGGAACUAGGCAAAAUGGUGCCGUAACUUCGGGAGAAGGCACGCUGAUAUGUAGGUGAAGCGACUUGCUCGUGGAGCUGAAAUCAGUCGAAGAUACCAGCUGGCUGCAACUGUUUAUUAAAAACACAGCACUGUGCAAACACGAAAGUGGACGUAUACGGUGUGACGCCUGCCCGGUGCCGGAAGGUUAAUUGAUGGGGUUAGCGGUAACGCGAAGCUCUUGAUCGAAGCCCCGGUAAACGGCGGCCGUAACUAUAACGGUCCUAAGGUAGCGAAAUUCCUUGUCGGGUAAGUUCCGACCUGCACGAAUGGCGUAAUGAUGGCCAGGCUGUCUCCACCCGAGACUCAGUGAAAUUGAACUCGCUGUGAAGAUGCAGUGUACCCGCGGCAAGACGGAAAGACCCCGUGAACCUUUACUAUAGCUUGACACUGAACAUUGAGCCUUGAUGUGUAGGAUAGGUGGGAGGCUUUGAAGUGUGGACGCCAGUCUGCAUGGAGCCGACCUUGAAAUACCACCCUUUAAUGUUUGAUGUUCUAACGUGGGCCCCUUACCGGGGUUGCGGACAGUGUCUGGUGGGUAGUUUGACUGGGGCGGUCUCCUCCUAAAGAGUAACGGAGGAGCACGAAGGUUGGCUAAUCCUGGUCGGACAUCAGGAGGUUAGUGCAAUGGCAUAAGCCAGCUUGACUGCGAGCGUGACGGCGCGAGCAGGUGCGAAAGCAGGUCAUAGUGAUCCGGUGGUUCUGAAUGGAAGGGCCAUCGCUCAACGGAUAAAAGGUACUCCGGGGAUAACAGGCUGAUACCGCCCAAGAGUUCAUAUCGACGGCGGUGUUUGGCACCUCGAUGUCGGCUCAUCACAUCCUGGGGCUGAAGUAGGUCCCAAGGGUAUGGCUGUUCGCCAUUUAAAGUGGUACGCGAGCUGGGUUUAGAACGUCGUGAGACAGUUCGGUCCCUAUCUGCCGUGGGCGCUGGAGAACUGAGGGGGGCUGCUCCUAGUACGAGAGGACCGGAGUGGACGCAUCACUGGUGUUCGGGUUGUCAUGCCAAUGGCACUGCCCGGUAGCUAAAUGCGGAAGAGAUAAGUGCUGAAAGCAUCUAAGCACGAAACUUGCCCCGAGAUGAGUUCUCCCUGACUCCUUGAGAGUCCUGAAGGAACGUUGAAGACGACGACGUUGAUAGGCCGGGUGUGUAAGCGCAGCGAUGCGUUGAGCUAACCGGUACUAAUGAACCGUGAGGCUUAACCUUACAACGCCG